rnacentral:rRNA from 1 species
GACGAACGCUGGCGGCGUGCCUAAUACAUGCAAGUCGAACGCAGUGGGGACGGUUGAGUAACACGUGGGUAACCUCCCAUCAGAGGGGAUAACACUUGGAAACAGGUGCUACACAGAUACUGAUGGAUGGACUCGCGGUGAAUGAGCUAGUUGGUGAGGGAACGGGUCACCAAGGCCACGAUGCAUAGCCGACCUUAGAGGGUGAGCGGCCACACUGGGAUUGAGACACGGCCCAGACUCCUACGGGAGGAAGCAGUAGGGAAUCUUCGGCAAUGGACGAAAGUCUGACCGAGCAACGCCGCGUGAGUGAAGAAGGUGUUCGGAUCGUAAAACUCUGUUGUUAGAGAAGCGGUAUCUAACCAGAAAGCCACGGCUAACUACGUGCCAGCAGCCGCGGUAAUUC